AAAAUAAAUAUAGUUUGAUUAUUAGAUUUAUUAAUUAAUUAAAGUAAUAAAAAAAUUUAAAGUUAAAGUAAUAAUUUAGAAUAAAUUAUUUUUAUAUUAAAGAUAGUAAUGAAAAUGAAUAAUUUUAAAAGUUAAAAAAGUAAAUUUAAUUGAUUGUACCUUUUGUAUCAGGGUUAAUUAAAUAAAAUAUUUUUAUAAAAAUAUAUCUCGAAUUUAAAAUAUUUAAUUAAAAAUUUUAGUUAAUGUAGAAAUAUUAUUAAUAAUUUUUAGUUAGAAGUGAAAUGUUAAACGAUUUUAAAUAUAUCUAGUUUUUUUAGAAUUAAAUAUAAUUUAGCUUUUAAUUUAUAUAAAUUAAUUUUAUUUAUUUAAAUAUAAAAUUAAAAAGUAAAUAUUUUUGGGAUAAACUAGAAAUAUAAAAAAUAAUAAAAUUUAAUUUUAAGUUAUAAAUAUUCAUAAAAUUUGAAUUUUUUUUAAAAAAUGUUAUAAUUUAUAAUUAUUUAAUUUAGAUUUAAAAUUUUAUUUUUAUUAAUAUAAAAAAAAAUUAUUUAAUUAUUUUAUAAUGGAUAUAAUGAUUAAAUUAGUAAAUUAUUUAUGUAAAAUUAAUUAAUAAUAAGAGUUUAUUUUAAGGAAUUCGACAAAUAUUAUGUUAAUAAAUUAAAUUAAUAUAUUUAUAUUCACCUGUUUAUCAAAAACAUGUCUUGUUGUUAAUAAUAAUAAGUCUAUUCUGCCCAUUGAUUAAUAUUAAAAGGCUGCAGUAUACUGACUGUACAAAGGUAGCAUAAUCAAUUGUUUUUUAAUUGAAAACUUGUAUGAAAGAAUGAAUGAAAUAUAAAUUGUCUCAAAAUUAAAAUAUUGAAUUUAAAUUAAGAGUUAAAAUGCUUUUAUUUAAUUAUAAGACGAUAAGACCCUAUAGAAUUUAAUAAAUUAUAUUUUUUAAAGAUUAUAUGUUUUAAAAUAUUUAAUAAAUAUUUAUAUUUUAUUGGGAGGAUAAUUAAAUUAAUUUAACUUUAAAAAAUAUAUAAACAUUAAUUAAUGAAUAUUUGAUUAUUAUUAUAAUUAUUAGAAUAAAUUACCUUAGGGAUAACAGCGUAAUAAUUUUGGAGAGUUCAUAUUGAUAAAAUUGUUUGCGACCUCGAUGUUGAAUUAUGAUAAAAAUUAAAUGGAGAAAUUUAAAAUUUUAGUCUGUUCGACUAUUAAAAUCAUACAUGAUUUGAGUUCAGAUCGGUGUAAGCCAGAUCGGUUUCUAUCUAUAAUUAUAUAAUUAUUUUAUUGUACGAAAGGACUUAAAAUAAUAAAUAUUUUAUUAGGUUAAUUAAAAUUUUAAUUAAUUAAAUUGAAUAAAAUUAAUAAGUUGAAUUAAA
rnacentral:rRNA from 1 species